rnacentral:rRNA from 1 species
AUUGAACGCUGGCGGCAGGCCUAACACAUGCAAGUCGAACGAGUGGCGGACGGGUGAGUAAUGUCUGGGAAACUGCCUGAUGGAGGGGGAUAACUACUUGAAACGGUAGCUAAUACCGCAUACCAUCAGAUGUGCCCAGAUGGGAGUGGCUCGUAGGUGGGGUAACGGCUCACCUAGGCGACGAUCCCUCGCUGGUCUGAGAGGAUGACCAGCCACACUGGAACUGAGAGACGGGCCAGACUCCGACGGGAGGCAGCAGUGGGGAAUAUGGCACAAUGGGCGCAAGCCUGAUGAAGCCAUGCCGCGUGUAUGAAGAAGGCCUUCGGGUUGUAAAGUACUUUAAGCGGGGAGGCGUUACCCGCAGAAGAAGCACCGGCUAACUCCGUGCCAGCAGCCGCGGUAAUUC